GAAUUUUGCGCAAUGGGCGAAAGCCUGACGCAGCAACGCCGCGUGGGGGAUGAAGGCUCUCGGGUUGUAAACCCCUUUUCUUGGGGAAGAUGAUGACGGUACCCAAGGAAUAAGUCACGGCAAACUACGUGCCAGCAGCCGCGGUAAUACGUAGGUGGCAAGCGUUGUCCGGAUUUACUGGGCGUAAAGCGCGCGUAGGCGGCUUUCUAAGUCUAUGGUUAAAUCUCCCGGCUUAACUGGGAGGCGUCUGUAGAUACUGGAAGGCUUGAGUGUCGCAGAGGAAAGUGGAAUUCCCGGUGGAGUGGUGAAAUGCGUAGAUAUCGGGAGGAACACCAGAGGCGUAAGCGGCUUUCUAGGCGAUUACUGACGCUGAGGCGCGAAAGCGUGGGGAGCGAACCGG
rnacentral:rRNA from 1 species